AUUGAACGCUGGCGGCAUGCUUUACACAUGCAAGUCGAACGGCAGCACGAAAGAGCUUGCUCUUUUGGUGGCGAGUGGCGAACGGGUGAGUAAUGCAUCGGAACGUACCGAGUAAUGGGGGAUAACUAUCCGAAAGGAUAGCUAAUACCGCAUACGCUUUGAGAAGGAAAGUGGGGGCUCUUCGGACCUCACGUUAUUCGAGCGGCCGAUGUCUGAUUAGCUAGUUGGUGGGGUAAAGGCCUACCAAGGCGACGAUCAGUAGCGGGUCUGAGAGGAUGAUCCGCCACACUGGGACUGAGACACGGCCCAGACUCCUACGGGAGGCAGCAGUGGGGAAUUUUGGACAAUGGGCGCAAGCCUGAUCCAGCCAUGCCGCGUGUCUGAAGAAGGCCUUCGGGUUGUAAAGGACUUUUGUUAGGGAAGAAAAGGAUAGUGUUAAUACCAUUAUCUGCUGACGGUACCUAAAGAUAAGCCCC
rnacentral:rRNA from 1 species